rnacentral:pre_miRNA from 1 species
AGUGAAGAGACUACGAGGCGUCGCGUCCACACGCGGUAUUAGCCCUGUGAAUGUGUUCCCGGUACAAUCACAGGAUAAUACUGCGAGUGGCGGCGACGAAGA